GACGAACGCUGGCGGCGUGCUUAACACAUGCAAGUCGAGCGGUAAGGCCCUUCGGGGUACACGAGCGGCGAACGGGUGAGUAACACGUGGGUGAUCUGCCUCGUACUCUGGGAUAAGCCUGGGAAACUGGGUCUAAUACCGGAUAUGACCACGAGUCGCAUGGUUUGUGGUGGAAAGAUUUAUCGGUGCGAGAUGGGCCCGCGGCCUAUCAGCUUGUUGGUGGGGUAAUGGCCUACCAAGGCGACGACGGGUAGCCGGCCUGAGAGGGCGACCGGCCACACUGGGACUGAGACACGGCCCAGACUCCUACGGGAGGCAGCAGUGGGGAAUAUUGCACAAUGGGCGGAAGCCUGAUGCAGCGACGCCGCGUGCGGGAUGACGGCCUUCGGGUUGUAAACCGCUUUCGACAGGGACGAAGCGUGAGUGACGGUACCUGUAGAAGAAGCACCGGCCAACUACGUG
rnacentral:rRNA from 1 species